rnacentral:rRNA from 1 species
CCUACGGGGGGCAGCAGUGGGGAAUUUUCCGCAAUGGGCGAAAGCCUGACGGAGCAACGCCGCGUGAGGGAUGAAGGCCUCUGGGCUGUAAACCUCUUUUAUCAAGGAAGAAGAUCUGACGGUACUUGAUGAAUAAGCCACGGCUAAUUCCGUGCCAGCAGCCGCGGUAAUACGGGAGUGGCAAGCGUUAUCCGGAAUUAUUGGGCGUAAAGCGUCCGCAGGCGGCCCUUCAAGUCUGCUGUUAAAAAGUGGAGCUUAACUCCAUCAUGGCAGUGGAAACUGUUGGGCUUGAGUGUGGUAGGGGCAGAGGGAAUUCCCGGUGUAGCGGUGAAAUGCGUAGAUAUCGGGAAGAACACCAGUGGCGAAGGCGCUCUGCUGGGCCAUCACUGACGCUCAUGGACGAAAGCCAGGGGAGCGAAAGGGAUUAGAUACCCCUGUAGUCCUGGCCGUAAACGAUGAACACUAGGUGUCGGGGGAAUCGACCCCCUCGGUGUCGUAGCCAACGCGUUAAGUGUUCCGCCUGGGGAGUACGCACGCAAGUGUGAAACUCAAAGGAAUUGACGGGGGCCCGCACAAGCGGUGGAGUAUGUGGUUUAAUUCGAUGCAACGCGAAGAACCUUACCAGGGUUUGACAUCCUGCGAAUCUCUUGGAAACAGGAGAGUGNCUUCGGGAACGCAGUGACAGGUGGUGCAUGGCUGUCGUCAGCUCGUGUCGUGAGAUGUUGGGUUAAGUCCCGCAACGAGCGCAACCCACGUCUUUAGUUGCCAGCAUUUAGUUGGGCACUCUAGAGAGACUGCCGGUGAUAAACCGGAGGAAGGUGUGGAUGACGUCAAGUCAUCAUGCCCCUUACAUCCUGGGCUACACACGUACUACAAUGCUACGGACAAAGGGCAGCAAGUUCGCGAGGACAAGCAAAUCCCAUAAACCGUGGCUCAGUUCAGAUCGUAGGCUGCAACUCGCCUACGUGAAGGCGGAAUCGCUAGUAAUCGCAGGUCAGCAUACUGCGGUGAAUACGUUCCCAGGCCUUGCACACACCGCCCGUC